ensembl:lncRNA
GCAGGACACCGGCCCUUGAGGCCUGGAGUUGGACACCCCUGAUGUACGAGCAGAUUGAGACCACAGGCGUCAGAGCAGGAAGUCAGCAGCAUAUUGCCCUCGGCUCAGAGGAAGUCCCUCCUGCUACACUCUGACUCCGCCUCCAGCCAGUUCUCGGCCUGUGAGGACACUCCGACGCUGUUGGUCGUCCUGCAGGAACAAAGACAAACUGAGGCUGAAGAUGAUGAAGGUGAAACCGCACACACCUGAGACAGAACCAUCGUGCGCUGAAAGCACACCUCCCUGAAGGCUGUGAAAUGUUAUCGUCUGUGAAUUCAAAAAACAGAAAUCCUUCCACUCCUCCACACAAUAGGACCUCGUCUCGACUCCAGGGAAACAAAGAGUGUUUUUCCUCUGCAUACCUGCCACGAGGAUAAAGCAUGAAUGAAGAUAAUGUCUCUUUCAGAGCAGUAAGCAUUCGUGAAUAUCUGACAUCAGAUGUGCAGCCCUGUCCCGUCUCACAGCACCAACAAAUUCCUCUAAAAGUUCCUGGAAGGGAUUCAACUCCAGAAGUUCAAUUAGCGCUAAGUUGAUCCGCACUU